AUUGGACGCUGGCGGAAUGCUUUACACAUGCAAGUCGAACGGCAGCACGGACUUCGGUCUGGUGGCGAGUGGCGAACGGGUGAGCAAUGUAUCGGAACGUGCCCAGUCGUGGGGGAUAACGUAGUGAAAAUUACGCUAAUACCGCAUACGAUCUAUGGAUGAAAGCGGGGGAUCGCAAGACCACGCGCGAUUGGAGCGGCCGAUAUCAGAUUAGGUAGUUGGUGGGGUAAAGGCCCACCAAGCCAACGAUCUGUAGCUGGUCUGAGAGGACGACCAGCCACACUGGAACUGAGACACGGUCCAGACUCCUACGGGAGGCAGCAGUGGGGAAUUUUGGACAAUGGGCGAAAGCCUGAUCCAGCCAUUCCGCGUGCAGGAUGAAGGCCCUCGGGUUGUAAACUGCUUUUGUACAGAACGAAAAGGUUUCUACUAAUACUAGGAGCUCAUGACGGUACUGUAAGAAUAAGCACCGGCUAACUACGUGCCAGCCGCCGCUGUAA
rnacentral:rRNA from 1 species